UCUAUUUCCUCUUGUCAUUAGGUGGUGUGUGGGGGCCAAGACUUCAAUGUCUGCAGCUCUGGAUGGUCUUGCCCCUCCUGAUAAUCUCCUCACUCAGCAGAGGUCAUGGAGGAGGGGGAAUUGAGAGUGAGGAACUGAGAGUGAGGUGUUUCUGGGCUUAGUGACUUCCUUUUUGUCUGGGCAGGUCCACUCAAUGCCAGUAGCUGGCCCAGAGAGAUCCGGGGGGGAUGGCACGAGUUUGACAGAAAUUGGACAGGAACAGGAGGGUACCCUCACCUCUUUAGAAGUCAGGGCAGUGGAGGAGAAAGGAAGAAUGAGGUGUUUCUGGAUUCAUGGAGGUCCUCUCUGCUAGGCAGGUCCACUCUAUGCAAGGCGCAGGUCCAGAGAGAUCUGGAGGGGGUGAUGGCGGGAGUCGGACAGGAGUAGAGCAGGAGGAGCAGGUACACUCAUCUCAGGAGAGGUCAGGGCAGCAGAGGACUUUCUAAUUUUUUAUUGACUAGUAGUAUUUGGUUUUACUCUAAGAUUCUGGGAUAUUUAGACUCUGGCUCUUGGUUACCCAAGAAGUUUUGGGUAUGUGUUCCCUCUUGUGUAGUGGGCCUUAAAUCAAGUCAGAAAUCAGUUAGUUCAUCCUAAAAGUUUUGUGCCACCAUUAGCCUAGCAUAUUUUAGGGCAGGAGAGCCUUGUAGAUCAAAGGUUUUGUGGAUGGGUUAGUAUUUACAUUUCUCUUUUGGUAGCCUAUAGAGUACCUUUCUGUACCAAAGACACUAGAAUAUAUGAGUGAAUGUUCUAUGUAGGAAUGAGGUUGACCUUCCUGUGUUCAAUAAGUUGUGCAGAUAUUAUUUUUAGCAAUGGGGCCUUGUUGUCUAUUUGUAGAGAACAACCUAUUAUAUUGGCAACAUCCUAGGUUGUUUCAAGAUUUCCAUUUUGCCAGUCAACCAAUUGGAUGUAACCAAGUCCUGGUACUAGAAAUUUCCUGUAGUGACAAGAGAUAGAAUGAAGGGAAUAUGUCUACCUCAUUAUUUGGCAAUUUCAUUAAGAUCACCUUCAUAUAUUUUCAUACAUUUCCACUGCAUUAGGGUUUACAUAUCACAUCUUAAAUGCCUCUCAAUUCUAGAUCUCUCUCCCCAUAUUCCCUACCUUAGUACCAUCUACCAUUACCCUCCUCACCUGAACCUCCUUUUCCCAUGCUCUACGACCCCAUCCACAAAAAUUAUUCUAUUUCUCGUUUCCAGAGAGAUCCAUAUGUUCCCCUCAGUCCCUUCCUCUAUACUUAAUCCCUCAGUGUUUAUGGAUUGGCUGCUUCUAUACUAUUUUAAUGGUUAAUAUCCACAUAAAAAUGAAUACAUACCAUAUUUUCUUUUGGGGUCUAAAUUUCCUCACUCAGGGUGAUUUUUUAUAGUUCCACUCAUUUGCCUACAAAUUCCAUAAUGUUACUUUUUAAACAGUUGAAUAAUAAUAUUCCAUUAUGUAAAUGUACCACAUUUUCUUUAUCUAUUUGUCAGUUGAUAGACAUCUAGGCUCUUUCUGGUUCCUGCUAUUAUGAAUAGAGCAGCAAUAAACAUGUUUAAGCAAGUGUUCUUGUGGUGAAGGAUGAAGCAUACUUUGUGUAUAUGCCAAGAGUGUUAUAGCUGGAUCUUGAGGCUGCAACCCUAUUCCAAUGAUGGUGUCCUUUGCCAUUUAUCGAAAGCCAGUAGUCAACAUCAUCUUAAAUGGAGAGAAACACAAAACAAUUACACUAAAUUCAGAAACAAUAGAAGCUUGUCCUCUCUUCCCAUACCUAUCCAAUAUAGCUGGAGAAAUGACACAACUGACAGAGAUAAAUGGAAUACAAAUUGGAAAUGAAGAAGCCAAAGUUCUUUGUUAGCAGAUGACAUGUUAGUAGGAAUAAAUGACCCUAACAAUUCCACUAUGAAACUUCCACAGCUGAGAAGCACUUUCAGCAAAGUAACUGGAUACAAAAUUAACAAAUAAAAUCAGUAGUCCUUGUGUAUACAAAUCAUAAAUGGACUGAGAAAGAAA